UGGAGAGGAAAUUAAGAUAACUCUAAGUCUAAAUUAUUUACAAUUUAAGGCUAUCCAACAAAAAGUCACGGAAGAGAAAGGAAAUUAAAUUCACAACUAUUACGUCUUGUUACUACAGGCUAGAUAGGAGCCCAAAUCGAAAUCUUUGUGUAGGGCUUGGGCCUGGCAGAUUUUACGUGGCCAGGCCCUACAUAAACCUCCAAUGCUCUUAAUUUACAAGAGAACCCGAGAUGGGCUUGUCUUGGCACCCAGGCCCAAUAACAAAACUCAAACUGUAAAGAUUAAUGAAACACAAUAAAGACUGCCAUCUUCAAGAUCACACAUACAAUUGAUUUCUACAUUGUAAACUGGAUUGUAAUACUAAACAAAAUUUAGCUCUAAUUUGAUUCAAAAAAUUAUUACAUUAAGAUUAAUGUUCUAGCAAAUACAAUUAUGAACUCUUAACAGAUCUCUUAGAACCAAAUGUAUCCCAAAUCACAAUGAAUUCAGAAUUGCUCAAUUUAACCUGGAGACCUCUAAUUAAUGCAUUUGACCAACUGGUGGUCAAAUCCAUGAGCUAGUUGAAUCUGCAGCACCAACCAACAUAUGAUGAAAAUAUUUAUAUUUCCAGUUCAGGUAAUAAACAAACUCAGUUUCGAUCUGGCAACUUGAUAUCACUAAUUUAUAUUAACAAACAACAGAUUAACAAGUAAAAAUUAAAAUACAAAUCACAAAAUCAAACUCAAUUUCAUAUAUGUUUAUUAUUAGUCGAGUCCACAAUAGACUUUUGGUAAUAGUUACAUCAACAGUUUUAAAUAUUAAUUCAGAAUCAUGAUCCAUAUGCAAAAGGCAUUCAACAAAGGGCAAAAUCAUUGCAGACUACAUUAUUUGAGAUUAAACAAGUACCUUAGCAGUAAAAAAAUAAAUAGCAAGUUGCCAAAUAAAGUCUGAAAUCAACUAGAGUUGGAGCUCAGCUAAUCUAGAAAACAACAGAUCCAAGCAGAAAAAUAUUAAAGUAAAUUGUCAGAAUUUAGGAAGCACUUUUGAAACACAUUUUUUUGUUUUUGUUGUGAUUUUAUGGAGUUUUUUUUGUUCUUCAAAACUGAAAUUGUUAUCUCAAAUUCAGCUUCCUCUAAACGUGAGAGAGUAAGUGUGUGUAUUGACAGUGAAUUGGUGAGAAUAAUCAGUGAAUGCGU
rnacentral:lncRNA from 1 species